rnacentral:rRNA from 1 species
GCUUGCGAGGGCGUAUGGUGGAUGCCUUGGCAGACAGUACCGAUGAAGGACGUUUGAGGAUGCGAUAAUCCUAGGGGAGCCUCCAACAUGGCUUUGAUCCUAGGGUCUCCGAAUGGGGGAACCCGCCGGCCGUCAUGGGCCGGCACCGCCUAUGGGCGGGGGGUACGCAGGGAAGUGAAACAUCUCAGUACCUGCAGGAAGGGAUACUCCGUGAGUAGUGGCGAGCGAAAGCGGAUCAGACCAAACCGGUUGCGCGUGAUACCCGUCGGGGGUUGCGUUGCCGGUGUUGUGGGAUCACGUGUCCCGGUUCCGACGGGCCGGGCGGGAGUCAUAAAACGGCUUGCCAGGGGAACAGGCUUGAAGGCCUGGCCGUAGAGGGUGCCAGCCCCGUACCUGGACGUGAGCCGUCUUCCGAUCGUGUUGUCCCAAGUAGCGCGGGCCUCGUGGAAUCCCGCGUGAAUCAGCCCAGACCGUUGGGUAAGUCUAAGCAUACCUGUCUGACCGAUAGCGUACCAGUACCGUGAGGGAAAGGUGAAAAGCACCCCGGGAGGGGAGUGAAACAGUUCCUGAAACCGUGCGCCCACAAACCGUCGGAGCCUCCUUGUGGGGUGACGGCGUGCCUAUCGAAAAAUGAGUCUGCGAGUCAGUGGCGGGUGGCGAGCAUAAGCCGUGUGGCGUAUGCGUAGCGAAAGCGAGUCUUAAAAGGCGUUUGUAGUCGCUUGUCCUGGACCCGAAGCGGGAUGAUCUAGCCCUGGGCAGGUUGAAGCGCGGGUAAGACCGCGUGGAGGACCGAACCCACCUGGGUUGAAAACCGGGGGGAUGACCUGGGGCUAGGGGUGAAAGGCCAAUCAAAUUCCGUGAUAGCUGGUUCUCUCCGAAAUGCAUUUAGGUGCAGCGUCGGUCGAUUGCGUCGCGGGGGUAGAGCUACCGGAUGCUUGCGGGCCCUUGUUGGGUACCAACAGCAGCCGAACUCCGAAUACCGUUGACGUGUAUUCCGGCAGUGAGUCGGCGGGGGAUAAGCUCCGUCGUCGAGAGGGAGACAGCCCAGACCGUCGUCUAAGGUCCCGAAGCGUGUGCUAAGUGGGAAAGGAUGUGGAGUCGCAUAGACAGCCA